GUUUGGUCCCUAUCUGCCGUGGGUGUUGGAUACUUGAGAGGAUUUGUCCCUAGUACGAGAGGACCGGGAUGAACACACCUCUGGUGGACCUGUUGUGGCGCCAGCCGCAUUGCAGGGUAGCUAUGUGUGGACUAGAUAACCGCUGAAAGCAUCUAAGCGGGAAACUAACCUCAAAACCAGGUAUCCCUGAGAGCCGUGCAAGACCAGCACGUCGAUAGGCCGGGUGUGGAAGCGCAGCGAUGCGUGGAGCUAACCGGUACUAAUUGCUCGAUAGGCUUGAUUGUU
rnacentral:rRNA from 1 species